rnacentral:rRNA from 1 species
AAAAUUGUACAAUUAUUAAACCUGAGUAGUAUUAGUUAGGAUCUUGAAACUCAAAAAAUUUGGCGGUAUUUUAGUCUAUUUAGAGGAACCUGUAGUAUAAUCGAUAAUCCACGAUGGACCUCACUUAAUUUUGUUUUUCAGUUUGUAUACCGCUGUUAUUUGAAGAUUUUAUAAGAAUAUUAAUUUUCAUAAUUUUAAAUUAAAAAAUAUAUCAGGUCAAGGUGCAGCUUAUGAUUAAGAAUUUAUGGGUUACAAUAAAAUUAUUUAUACGAAUAAAUAUAUGAAAUUAUAUUUUGAAGGCGGAUUUAAUAGUAAAUUUUUAAAGAUAAAAUAAUUGAUU